GACGAACGCUGGCGGCGUGCCUAACACAUGCAAGUCGAACGGAGCAGAGACUUCGGUUUUGCUUAGUGGCGAACGGGUGAGUAACGCGUGAGAAACCUGCCUUUCAGUGGGGGACAACAGUUGGAAACGACUGCUAAUACCGCAUAAUGUAACGAGAUCGCAUGGUCUUGUUACCAAAGCUUUAUGUGCUGAAAGAUGGUCUCGCGUCUGAUUAGCUAGUUGGUGAGGUAACGGCUCACCAAGGCGACGAUCAGUAGCCGGUCUGAGAGGAUGAACGGCCACAUUGGGACUGAGAUACGGCCCAGACUCCUACGGGAGGCAGCAGUGGGAAUAUUGGGCAAUGGGGGAAACCCUGACCCAGCAACGCCGCGUGAAGGAAGAAGGCCUUCGGGUUGUAAACGUUCUUUUACCUAGGGACGAAGAACGUGACGGUACCUGGAGAAAAAGACGGGAAACGCGUAACUAACGUG
rnacentral:rRNA from 1 species